CACGAGGUAGCAAUACUUUGGUGGCGACCGGCGCACGGGUGAGUAACGCGUAUGUAACCUACCUUGUACAGGGGGAUAACCCGGAGAAAUUCGGACUAAUACCCCAUAAUGAUAUUGAGAGGCAUCUUUUGAUAUUUAAAGUUUCGACGGUACAAGAUGGGCAUGCGUAACAUUAGCUAGUUGGUAGGGUAACGGCCUACCAAGGCUACGAUGUUUAGGGGUCCUGAGAGGGUGAUCCCCCACAUUGGUACUGAGACACGGACCAAACUCCUACGGGAGGCAGCAGUGAGGAAUAUUGGUCAAUGGACGUAAGCCUGAACCAGCCAUCCCGCGUGCAGGAAGACGGCGCUAUGCGUUGUAAACUGCUUUUCCAGGGGAAGAAAACCUUCGACGUGUCGAAGCUUGCCGGUACCUUGGGAAUAAGCAUCGGCUAACUCCGUGCCAGCAGCCGCGGUAAUACGGAGGAUGCGAGCGUUAUCCGGAUUUAUUGGGUUUAAAGGGUGCGUAGGCGGAUUGAUAAGUCAGCGGUGAAAACCUUCAGCUUAACUGGAGACUUGCCAUUGAUACUGUCAGUCUUGAGUACGGUCAAGGUAGGCGGAAUGUGUAAUGUAGCGGUGAAAUGCUUAGAUAUUACACAGAACACCGAUUGCGAAGGCAGCUUACUGGACCAAUACUGACGCUGAGGCACGAAAGCGUGGGGAGCGAACAGGAUUAGAUACCCUGGUAGUCCACGCCGUAAACGAUGAUCACUCGCUGUUAGCGAUACACAGUUAGCGGCUAAGCAAAAGCAUUAAGUGAUCCACCUGGGGAGUACGGCCGCAAGGCUGAAACUCAAAGGAAUUGACGGGGGCCCGCACAAGCGGAGGAACAUGUGGUUUAAUUCGAUGAUACGCGAGGAACCUUACCUAGGCUUAAAUGUAGAGUGCAUUCCGCCGAAAGGCGGAUUUCCUUCGGGACUCUUUGCAAGGUGCUGCAUGGUUGUCGUCAGCUCGUGCCGUGAGGUGUCGGGUUAAGUCCCAUAAC
rnacentral:rRNA from 1 species